AUUACUUUUUAUCUUAUAACAAUUUUUUUAAACAAAACAAUUUAAUUAUACUAUUUUAAAAUUAAAAUUUAUAGUACCGAAACGGAAACCUAAAAUAUAUUACAGUAGUGUAUAACCACGUACCUUGUGCAUUAUGGUUUUACAAGCUAAAAAUUAAAUAUAUACUCCCGAAUUCUAUGCGAGCUGCCUCCAUAUAGCUAAGAGCCCACUAAUAGCUGUAGCAUCAGCUUUAAAAAAUAUGAAAGCAGGGGCUACAUACCACCCGCGCUGGAAAAUUGCUGGUUCUCAGUAAAAUUUAUUUAUUAAUACAUGCAGUUUAUAAUUGCAGUGUAAGACUUCAGAGGAUAAGCCCUGUAUUCUGUAGCUAAUUUACGUCAUGUAAUCUAUAUAUAGGCCUAAUAUCAGCCAUCAAAAAUACUUUACCGUAAUAUUUCUAUAUAAUUCCUAUUUAAUUAUGCUCCACUAAACAGAGAUAUAAGAUAAACUUUCUAUCUUAAAUUAUUAUGUAAAAAUAAGUAUUAAAAAUAUAAUUACUCUAAAUUCUAUUCUAUAUCUUGUGAAGGAACUCGGCAAUUAAUUAUUUCGACUGUUUAACAAAAACAUUGCCCUUUGAAAAUUAAAUAAAGGGUAAUUCCUGCCCAG
rnacentral:rRNA from 1 species